AGAGUUUGAUCCUGGCUCAGGACGAACGCUGGCGGCGUGCUUAAUACAUGCAAGUCGAGCGGGGUUACUGCGACAGAUCCCUUCGGGGUGACGUUGCUUUAACCUAGCGGCGGACGGGUGAGUAACGCGUGGGUAACCUACCCUAAAGCUCGGGAUAACAGUGGGAAACCGCUGCUAAUACCGGAUGACUUUAACCUAUGGCAUCAUGGGUUAAAGAAAGAUUUAUCGCUUUAGGAUGGGCCCGCGUCCCAUUAGCUAGUUGGUGAGGUAACGGCUCACCAAGGCGACGAUGGGUAGCCGGCCUGAGAGGGUGUACGGCCACACUGGGACUGAGACACGGCCCAGGCUCCUACGGGAGGCAGCAGUAGGGAAUAUUGCGCAAUGGACGGAAGUCUGACGCAGCGACGCCGCGUGAGCGAUGAAGGCCUUCGGGUCGUAAAGCUCUGUCCUUGGGGAAGAAGGUCUUCGGACUUGACGGUACCCAAGAAGAAAGCCCCGGCUAACUACGUGCCAGCAGCCGCGGUAAUACGUAGGGGGCGAGCGUUGUCCGGAAUUACUGGGCGUAAAGGGUGCGUAGGCGGCCCUUUAAGUCAGAUGUGAAAGGCCACGGCUUAACCGUGGGAUUGCAUUUGAAACUGGAGGGCUUGAGUGUCGGAGAGGGUAGUGGAAUUCCCAGUGUAGCGGUGAAAUGCGUAGAUAUUGGGAGGAACACCAGUGGCGAAGGCGACUACCUGGACGAUAACUGACGCUGAGGCACGAAAGCUAGGGGAGCAAACAGGAUUAGAUACCCUGGUAGUCCUAGCCGUAAACGAUGGGUACUAGGUGUAGGUGGUUUCGAUACCAUCUGUGCCGGAGUUAACGCAAUAAGUACCCCGCCUGGGG
rnacentral:rRNA from 1 species